rnacentral:rRNA from 1 species
AGUGAACGCUGGCGGCAGGCCUAAUACAUGCAAGUCGAACGACAACACAGUAAGAGCUUUCUCUUACGGGUGGCGACUGGCGGACGGGUGAGGUAUGCAUCGGCAUCCACUUUUUCGUGGGGAAUAACGUGGGGACACAUACGCUAAUACCUCAUAUGUCCUACCGGAUAGUGCAGGAGUGCUUCGCACUUUUCGCGUUUCAAUGAGCUGGUUUCGCAUUAGCUAGUUGGCGGGGUAAGGUCCCACCAAGGCGACGAUGCGUAGCUGGUCUGAGAGGAUGAUCGGCCACACUGGAACUGAGACACGGUCCAGACUCCUACGGGAGGCAGCAGUGGGGAAUAUUGGACAAUGGGCGCAAGCCUGAUGCAGCCAUACCGCGUGGGUGAAGAAGGUCUUCGGGUUGUAAAGCCCUUUUGUUAGGGAAGAAAAGCAGCAGAUUAAUACACCGCUGUUCUGACGGUACCCAAAGAGUAAGCACCGGCUAACUUCGUG